AUAAAGCUUCGGGGCGGGGUGCGAUUCCCCACCGGCGGUGACAGUCCGCGAACCGGCUGUGCAAAAGAGUGCGCAGGCGGCCGACCCGGUGAAAUUCCGGGACCGACGGUAAGGCCGAAUGGGUCGAGUCCGGAUGAGAGAAGCGGCAA
rnacentral:ncRNA from 2 species